GUUUUUUUUUUUUAACGGAGGUUUUAGGUGUUUGACGAGAGCGCAGGGAAGAAGCCGCGGUGGGUCCGGGUGGGGGUCGACGUGGACCGCCACGUCAUCAUCCCCGACCUCUCGUUGCUCCCCUCCGCCGGCGCUGCCGGCGAGCAGGUGGUGGAGGACUACGUCUCGGCGCUCUCCGCCGCCGCCUCCAUGGACGCGACCUGGCUUCUGUGGGAGCUCCACAUCCUCAACCUCCCCACCCCCUCCGCCGCCGCCUCCGCCGUGCUCCGAGCCCACCACUCCCUCGGCGACGGCGCCUCCCUCGGAAAAACAAAAAAUACAAGAAAUUGUGUACAUAAAGAUAGUAGUUUGAAAUUUUGGACCAUUCGCAAAUAGAUAGUGUAAUGUUCAAAAUUUUGCUAAAAUUAAUAUUUUUUAAAAAAUUCAAAGCACUAUUUAUUUAUUUAUUUAUUAAAAAUAAUAUUUUAUUUAUUUAUUUAUUUUUUGUUUUUUUUUUUUAUCGGAGGUUUUAGGUGUUUGACGAGAGCGCGGGGAAGAAGCCGCGGUGGGUCCGGGUAGGGGUCGACGUGGACCGCCACGUCAUCGUCCCCGACCUCUCGUUGCUCCCCUCCGCCGGCGCCGCCGGCGAGCGGGUGGUGGAGGACUACGUCUCAGCGCUCUCCGCCGCCGCCUCCAUAGACGCGACCCGGCUUCUGUGGGAGCUCCACAUCCUCAACCUCCCCACCCCCUCCGCCGCCGCCUCCGCCGUGCUCCGAGCCCACCACUCCCUCGGCGACGGCGCCUCGCUCACUUCCCUCCUCCUCG
rnacentral:lncRNA from 1 species